AACUAGAAUCGGCUGGGCCGCGCUAUGAAUUCUGGCAUAGGGUGGGCCACGAAGGAUACACCUGACCCAUCCUUCAAAGCUGUGGAAAGUAUUGUAUUGUUUUGAGAGCCUUUUUGUUGGUGGAGUAUUGAUUUUAUGUACAAUUCCACGGGUAGACGCGAUCUGUACGGUCCGACUUUGCACAUGCGCAGUAAGGAUCGAGGAGUCCGAUUCGUAACUUUUUUUUCUCGUUUUUUUUUCUACAUUAUAUUGAAAUGUUUCAUUAUUGCAAACAUUUUCUCUCAGGCAGAGAGAGGUCGUGGAGUGUCAGCCUAUGGUAUCUGAGGUCCAGGAGAGAUGACCUGCGCUGUUUUCCUCUGAGGAGGUAAGACUGUCCUAAUUUAUUUACAAUUUAAUUAUUAUUCAAAUUGGCCAUUAUUUAUACUUAUAUUGAAAUAGUACGGUAUUUGCUGGGGUAAUGCAUUGGCCAACUUUAUUAUCUUGUGCUACCACUCCAGUCAAGGCCCUUGCCAGUGUUAUAUUGAAAUCCUUACCCUGAACAUUUCUGCCAGUAGAAGAAAAGAGUCCCCAUGCUAAAUCGAAAUUGUGAAACAGAAAGGCAAUCUCAUAAUUUUGACUUAGCAUGUAUUUUUUUUUUUUUUUUUUUGUGCUAGAAAUAGGACUUCUAUAGACUGAGAUGGUUAGGGAAAGAAUACUAGGGUAGGUCACAGAAUCUGAUUGGUCACAGAUUUUGGUGCAACUUAAAACAUAAUGUGUAUUUUCAUCUUGAUACUGGGUUUUGUGGGGGGUGUUUCUAUUCCUGUGCAAAAGACGUAUUCAUGAGAGAUUUUUGAAGUAGGUUUUGCUGUUGAUAACACAGUCAGGCAUAUAACAUGGUGCAGACUGUCCAAGACAGCUACCCAGGAAUUUUCUGUGCUGAAUAAAUGACAAUAUUUUGGUGAAUGUAUUGUUUAGAUAUCUGAAAAACUUCAUCGGCUCACAAGCAAAGACCUCCUGGGGACCUUCAAUGCAUCCUUUGACAAAUUUGUGCCUGGCCUGCUGAAACUCUACUGGUCUAAGAAGGGAGUUCUUUGUGAGGAGAUGGAAGACCUCCUGGAUAAACUUGAUGAACAGACAUCCAACACUGUGUCCAACGGGCACUGAGAGGCCUGCCCUUUUUCCUCAAGGGAAGAUGCAACAGAGGUUUUCCUGAAGUGCUUAGACACUGACAUUUUGGAACCAGUGUUGAACGGUGCAUCAGUUGCCAUCCUCACCAUCCUACAAGAUGACGAUGCCGAUACGUCUGUGCGAGAACAUGCAGUUGUGUUGGAGGGGGACAUCAUGCUACAUAACAUUCCAGACCUCUCUACUGCCCUGGCAUACCUCUUUGGCCUUCUGUAUGCCCUCAACAUUGAUUAUCCAAAGCAGAUGAGUUUUAACUUUGAAGCAAUUCAGACCAUCUUAUUUUGACCUGGUCGGACAAUAUGAAGGCGAAGUGGAUAAAUCAUUAUUCGAAAUGUAAAUUUUAGUCAGAUGAAUCUGUAUUGUUGAGAAUAUAUGGUGAAAAUUUGUCUUGUAGUAUUUUAAAAAACUUGUUAUAGUGUUAGUUUCCUCUUCAUUGAUGGUAACAUUUCGAAAUAACUUUUAACUUCCAUAGUUCAUCAUAGUAAGCCUGUGUAAAAUGUCAAUGUCUGGGUACAUAGGCAAUCGUUUGUGGCACUACCCCAUUUUUUUUUUUAAAACAGUAUGUUUAUUGAUUUUUAUAAUACAGAACAAGCAAAGAAUAAUAGUACAGUUAACAUGAGAUUUAUAUUAAAGAACAUAGUCCCCAAAAUAAACAAAUAUAAAUUAAAAGAAACAACAAUAAUAAUAAACCAAAAAAAAAAAAAUCGAUGUACA